rnacentral:rRNA from 1 species
CCUACGGGCGGCAGCAGUAGGGAAUAUUGCUCAAUGGGGGAAACCCUGAAGCAGCAACGCCGCGUGGAGGAUGACGGUUUUCGGAUUGUAAACUCCUUUUGUUAGAGAAGAUAAUGACGGUAUCUAACGAAUAAGCACCGGCUAACUCCGUGCCAGCAGCCGCGGUAAUACGGAGGGUGCAAGCGUUACUCGGAAUCACUGGGCGUAACGAGCGCGUAGGCGGGAUAGCAAGUCAGAUGUGAAAUCCUAUGGCUUAACCAUAGAACUGCAUUUGAAACUGUUAUUCUAGAGUAUGGGAGAGGUAGGUGGAAUUCGUGGUGUAGGGGUAAAAUCCGUAGAGAUCAAGAGGAAUACUCAUUGCGAAGGCGACCUGCUAGAACAUAACUGACGCUGAUGCACGAAAGCGUGGGUAUCAAACAGGAUUAGAUACCCGUGUAGUC